rnacentral:rRNA from 1 species
GUAGGUGGCAAGCGUUGUCCGGAAUUAUUGGGGCGUAAAGCGCGCGCAGGCGGUUCUUUAAGUCUGAUGUGAAAGCCCACGGGCUCAACCGUGGAGGGUCAUUGGAAACUGGAGAACUUGAGUACAGAAGAGGAAAGCGGAAUUCCACGUGUAGCGGUGAAAUGCGUAGAGAUGUGGAGGAACACCAGUGGCGAAGGCGGCUUUCUGGUCUGUAACUGACGCUGAGGCGCGAAAGCGUGGGAGCAAACAGGAUUAGAUACCCUGGUAGUCCACGCCGUAAACGAUGAGUGCUAAGUGUUAGGGGGUUUCCGCCCCUUAGUGCUGCAGCUAACGCAUUAAGCACUCCGCCUGGGGAGUACGGCCGCAAAGGCUG